GUGGGGAAUAUUGGACAAUGGGCGCAAGCCUGAUCCAGCCAUGCCGCGUGAGUGAUGAAGGCCUUAGGGUUGUAAAGCUCUUUCAGUGGGGACGAUAAUGACGGUACCCACAGAAGAAGCCCCGGCUAACUUCGUGCCAGCAGCCGCGGUAAUACGAAGGGGGCUAGCGUUGUUCGGAUUUACUGGGCGUAAAGCGCACGUAGGCGGAUCGUUAAGUCGGGGGUGAAAUCCUGGAGCUCAACUCCAGAACUGCCUUCGAUACUGGCGAUCUUGAGUCCGGAAGAGGUGAGUGGAACUCCUAGUGUAGAGGUGGAAUUCGUAGAUAUUAGGAAGAACACCAGUGGCGAAGGCGGCUCACUGGUCCGGUACUGACGCUGAGGUGCGAAAGCGUCGGGAGCAAACAGGAUUAGAUACCCCGGUAGUCC
rnacentral:rRNA from 1 species